GAUGAAGAACGUAGCGAAAUGCGAUACUUGGUGUGAAUUGCAGAAUCCCGUGAACCAUCGAGUCUUUGAACGCAAGUUGCGCCCGAAGCCAUUAGGCCGAGGGCACGCCUGCCUGGGCGUCACACGUCGUUGCCCCCCCAUCUACUCCUUCGGGAUUGCGGGGGGCGGAUGAUGGCCUCCCGUGCGCCUCGUCGCGCGGUUGGCAUAAAUGCCAAGUCCUCGGCGACACACGCCACGACAAUCGGUGGUUGCGAAACCUCGGUUGCCCGUCGUGUGCGGUCGUCGCGCAUCGAGGGCUCGAAAAAAUUGCCGGGCUCCGGCUCGGCUUUCAACGCGACCCCAGGUCAGGCGGGGUUACCCGCUGAAUAUAAGCAUAUCAAUAAGCGGAGGA
rnacentral:misc_RNA from 1 species